ACGGAGGGGGCUAGCGUUGUUCGGAAUUACUGGGCGUAAAGCGUACGUAGGCGGACUUUUAAGUUAGAUGUGAAAUCCCCGGGCUCAACCCGGGAACUGCAUUUAAAACUGGAAGUCUAGAGUUAUGGAGAGGUAAGUGGAAUUCCUAGUGUAGAGGUGAAAUUCGUAGAUAUUAGGAGGAACACCAGAGGCGAAGGCGGCUUACUGGACAUAUACUGACGCUGAGGUACGAAAGUGUGGGGAGCAAACAGG
rnacentral:rRNA from 1 species